rnacentral:rRNA from 1 species
CCUACGGGAGGCUGCAGUGGGGAAUAUUGCACAAUGGGGGAAACCCUGAUGCAGCAACGCUGCGUGAGCGAAGAACGCCUUCGGGUCGUAAAGCUUUGUCCUAAGGGAAGAAGCAUGACGGUACCUAAGGAGGAUGCCCCGGCGAACUAAGUGUCAGCAGCAGCGGUAAUGCGUAGGGGGCGUGCGUUCUCCGGAAUCACUGGGCGUAAAGGGUGCGUAGGCGGCACAUUAAGCCGGAGGUGUAAGGCUAAGGCUCAACCGUAGUAAACCUUUGGAACUGAAUGGCUUGAGUACAGGAGAGGGGAGUGGGAUUCCUAGUGUAGCGGUGAAAUGCGUAGAUAUUAGGAGGAACACCGGUGGGGAAUGCGACUCUCUGCACUGUAACUGACGCUGAGGCACGAAAGCGUGGGGAACAAACCGGAUUAGUUACCCCUUUAGUC